CAAUUUGAACGACAAUGGACUUCUUAUCAGGAGUCAUGAAGCCACAUGGAAGUAGCAAACAUUUUCAAGUGCUGAAGAAGGGGAACUCUUAACCCAGAAUCCUUGGAUAUCCACUGGAAACAAUUCAUGAAGGACAUUCUCAGAUAAAGGAAAACUAAGAGAGUUUGUCACCAGCAAACUGAGGAAGCUGAAAUAUAGUGGCAUGUAUAGCUGAUCAGGAGCCAGUGAGGAAACCCCAGGGACAGGUGGCUGAAAGGAUUUAAUAGCACAGAAAUUGUAUACAUCAGGGUCCAGGAGGUGAAGGAGAUCUCUUUACAUGAACAGUCUACAGAAAUCUUGAGUAAGGCUUUGGAUUUCCACAGUGCAUUGACCUAGGCAUUUAAGCCAAUCAUAUCUAAAUUCAAAUGGCAACAAAAUAUUUUUAAAAAUCUUUCAAAGCAGGUGAUGCUACAGUCUCUGUGCUUCACAAAUCCAAGUUAUCAUUAUUGGCUACCACUCCUCCAUAUGCACAGGCAAUAAGUCAGGUAUUCCUUCCAGUAAUUGGGGCUACAAUGUAAACUUAGCAAAGCUUCCAGAUUAACACAUUUGUAAAAACAAGACUUCCUAAUAACCUGUCAUCUGCUUUCCCAAUUUCUCUAUAAUUUUAGUCUGUAGAUGACAUUCUUGUGGAGUUUUAGGUGACUGUCAUAUUGCAGCCAUCUGGCAGCCUGUUUAAGAAGCACAACUCUGACAUUAUAAGAUGAUGAAUCAGUGGUUAAAAACAAAACAAAAGGUGGUUGAUGUUUAUUGUAAUA
ensembl:lncRNA novel transcript